CAGCCGCCGCGGUAAUACGUAGGUGGCAAGCGUUGUCCGGAAUUAUUGGGCGUAAAGGGCUCGCAGGCGGUUUCUUAAGUCUGAUGUGAAAGCCCCCGGCUCAACCGGGGAGGGUUAUUGGAAACUGGGAAACUUGAGUGCAGAAGAGGAGAGUGGAAUUCCACGUGUAGCGGUGAAAUGCGUAGAGAUGUGGAGGAACACCAGUGGCGAAGGCGACUCUCUGGUCUGUAACUGACGCUGAGGAGCGAAAGCGUGGGGAGCGAACAGGAUUAGAUACCCCCGUAGUCCCUGUCUCUUAUAC
rnacentral:rRNA from 1 species